rnacentral:rRNA from 1 species
UACGUAGGGAGCAAGCGUUAUCCGGAUUUAUUGGGUGUAAAGGGUGCGUAGACGGGAAAUUAAGUUAGUUGUGAAAUCCCUCGGCUUAACUGAGGAACUGCAACUAAAACUGGUUUUCUUGAGUGCGGAAGGGGAAAGUGGAAUUCCUAGUGUAGCGGUGAAAUGCGUAGAUAUUAGGAGGAGCACCAGUGGGGAAGGCGACUUUCUGGACCGUAACUGACGUUGAGGCACGAAAGUGUGGGGAGCAAGC